rnacentral:rRNA from 1 species
AGUGAACGCUGGCGGUAGGCCUAACACAUGCAAGUCGAACGGCAGCACAGUAAGAGCUUGCUCUUACGGGUGGCGAGUGGCGGACGGGUGAGGAAUACAUCGGAAUCUACUUUUUCUUGGGUGAUAACGUAGGGAAACUUACGCUAAUACCGCAUACGUCCUACGGGUGAAAGCAGGGGAUCUUCGGACCUUGCGCGAUUCAAUGAGCCGAUGUCGGAUUAGCUAGUUGGCGGGGUAAGGGCCCACCAAGGCGACGAUCCGUAGCUGGUCUGAGAGGAUGAUCAGCCACACUGGAACUGAGACACGGUCCAGACUCCUACGGGAGGCAGCAGUGGGGAAUAUUGGACAAUGGGCGCAAGCCUGAUCCAGCCAUGCCGCGUGGGUGAAGAAGGCCUUCGGGUUGUAAAGCCCUUUUGUUGGGAAAGAAAAGCAGCAGGUUAAUACCCCGCUGUUCUGACGGUACCCAAAGAAUAAGCACCGGCUAACUUCGUG